rnacentral:tRNA from 1 species
GGGCUUGUGGUCUAGCGGUUAUGACGCCACCUUCACAAGGUGGAAGUCCCCGGUUCAAAUCCGGGCAGGCCCA